AUUGAACGCUGGCGGCAGGCCUAACACAUGCAAGUCGAGCGAGCGGCGGACGGGUGAGUAAUGUAUGGGGAUCUGCCCGAUAGAGGGGGCUAACUACUGGCAACGGUGGCUAAUACCGCAUACUAUCGGAUGAACCCAUCUGGGAUUCGGUAGUUGGUGAGGUAAAGGCUCACCAACCGACGAUCUAUAGCUGGUCUGAGAGGAUGACAAGCCACACUGGGACGGAGAAAAGGCCCAUACGCCGACGGGAGGAAGCAGUGGGGAAUAUUGCGCAAUGGGGGCAACCCUGACGCAGCCAUGCCGCGUGAAUGAAGAAGGCCUUCGGGUUGUAAAGUUCUUUCGGUAGCGAGGCGUUAACUACAGAAGAAGCACCGGCUAACUCCGUGCCAGCAGCCGCGGUAAUUC
rnacentral:rRNA from 1 species